rnacentral:rRNA from 1 species
UACAGAGGGGGCAAGCGUUGUCCGGAAUUACUGGGCGUAAAGGGCUCGUAGGUGGCCAACUAAGUCAGACGUGAAAUCCCUCGGCUUAACCGGGGAACUGCGUCUGAUACUGGAUGGCUUGAGUUUGGGAGAGGGAUGCGGAAUUCCAGGUGUAGCGGUGAAAUGCGUAGAUAUCUGGAGGAACACCGGUGGCGAAGGCGGCAUCCUGGACCAACACUGACACUGAGGAGCGAAAGCCAGGGGAGCAAACGGG